rnacentral:rRNA from 1 species
GGGGAAUUUUGGACAAUGGGGGCAACCCUGAUCCAGCCAUUCCGCGUGAGUGAAGAAGGCCUUCGGGUUGUAAAGCUCUUUUGUUCGGAACGAAACGGUUAGGUCUAAUAAGCCUGACUACUGACGGUACCGGAAGAAUAAGCACCGGCUAACUACGUGCCAGCAGCCGCGGUAAUACGUAGGGUGCGAGCGUUAAUCGGAAUUACUGGGCGUAAAGCGUGCGCAGGCGGUUUGCUAAGACAGGUGUGAAAUCCCCGGGCUUAACCUGGGAACUGCGCUUGUAACUGGCAAGCUAGAGUGUGGCAGAGGGGGGUGGAAUUCCACGUGUAGCAGUGAAAUGCGUAGAGAUGUGGAGGAACACCGAUGGCGAAGGCAGCCCCCUGGGCUAACACUGACGCUCAUGCACGAAAGCGUGGGGAGCAAAC